rnacentral:rRNA from 1 species
UACGUAGGGGGCAAGCGUUGUCCGGAAUCAUUGGGCGUAAAGCGCGUGUAGGCGGCUCGGUAAGUCCGCUCUGAAAGUCCGGGGCUCAACCCCGGGAGGCGGGUGGAUACUGUCGAGCUCGAGUCCGGAAGAGGCGAGUGGAAUUCCUGGUGUAGCGGUGAAAUGCGCAGAUAUCAGGAGGAACACCGGUGGCGAAGGCGGGUCUCUGGGCCGUAACUGACGCUGAGGAGCGAAAGCGUGGGGAGCGAACAGG